rnacentral:lncRNA from 1 species
UAUUAGUCGAUAAAGGUGGAAUGGUGAAUCUAGUGUUAAUUACUGCAAGAGUUGCAUGUGCCAUAAUGGAAAUGAAACAUGGUAACUAUGUAUUGUUGUUGGUAUGCCAAGGACAUGAUCUGAUAAACAUAUGUUGCGUGCAAAUGUAUUUGGAUGAUAAGAAAAGUAGUUAAGGUAUCUACCAUUGAUUGAUACUGUUUACAAUAAUAGCUACCACUCGAGUAUUAGAGAAUGUUGG